rnacentral:lncRNA from 1 species
AAUGGCCUCAAUGUGACCCUUUUCGAACUCCGAAUAAGCCCAGAGGGAGAACUUUUUACCGUCUGUUUCCGGUGAGACCUCAAAGUUCCUUCUUCCACUCACUAUUUCUAGUAAAACCAUCCCAUAGCUAUAAACAUCACACUUUGAGGUUAUUGGAUGAUUUGCAAGCCACUCUGGUGCCAAGUAUCCUCUAGUCCCUCUAAUGCUUGCCAAUGACAAGUGCCUAUGAUCCUUUGGAUUCAUAAGCCUUGCAAGGCCAAAAUCCGACACUUUGGCAGUGUAAGCUUCAUCCAACAGAAUGUUUUCCGGUUUUAUAUCGCAGUGAAUUAUGCAGUCUCGACAUUCCUCAUGAAGGUAGGUGAUUCCCCUAGCCGUUCCAAGAGCAAUGUUGAAUCGAUUUUCCCAUUUCAAUGAUUUUCCGGAUUGGUCUUUCGACGUAAAAAGGAACUUGUCAAGUGAACCAUUUUUCAAGAAUUCAUACACUAGAAGCCUGUGACGCCCUUCACAGCAAAACCCCACCAAUCUCACCAAAUUCAAAUGGUGUGUACUACUAAUAGUUGCAACUUCCAUCCUGAAUUGCCUCUCACCUUGCUCAAUUCCCUCGAGUUGCUUCACUGCAACCACCAUUCUAUUAGCCAGUGUUCCUUUGUAAACAGCCCCAAAACCACCAUCUCCAAGCCUCUCUGAAAACCCCUUUGUAGACUGUUGCAGCUUCUUGUAUGAGAACUUCACUGGUGCACCAGAUGCAUAAUCAACAAGUUCGUAUUGAACUGACAUACGCCCGGAUUUAUUGCGAUUGCUGUAAAGCAAGCACCAAAAACCUAUCCCUACUACAACCAAAGCCAAAAGGCUGGCCAUAACCACAGAGACAAUGACCAUAGUAUGCAAGGAAUCAUUAUCCUUAGCGGACGCUUCCUGAUAAGGUGAUGGAUUUGGAAUAGCUUGUCCACAAACUUUUAUGAAAGAGGUACUUGGAAGAACCGCGCCCUGAUAGCCGCUAACGAAAUCAGGCGUUUUCAGGUAACAAAAUCCACUUCCAUCAGCUACUAAAGUAGAAGCAGUGCAAGUACUACUAGCAAGACAAUUGGUUCUACAAGCUACAAUUGCAAGAGUGACCAACUGAUCGGAAAGCUCAGGAGGAUAAGUUAGGAACAUGGUAUGUUCUAAUUGCAACAUGGUAACAUCUCCAGGACAAUCCUCAAUCUCCACUUUCCUUUUGCAUCCUUUUCUACCGUCAUGUUCAUUAACAGGCUCAAAGUUCUGAGAUGCACAUCCACAAACCGGUUUCGAAUCCUUGUAACUACAAAUUCCCAUGUUGCCGCAGAAUCCGUAAACCUGACACUGAUCAGUUACAGCUGCCCAUGUCUGGGUUAUAUUCCCACUCCCAUUGUUCCCAGUACUACUGCUGUAAAUUCUCAAAUUCCCAUCAUUAUCCAUCCUUAAAAACCUAAACACGUCGUUGCUUUCACCAUAGUCAGUAGUAAAAGCCAUGUUAAUCAUCCCCCUGGCAAACGAAGGAUCUAAACCUACCAAAAUCCCAUUAGACUGCAACAUAAACCUAGGUGAUGUCAAAUUCCCAUUGAUAGACGAGUUGAACCCUAAACUCCAGUAUUCAAUAGUGUCAUUCCAGUUCAAAGUAAGAUUAGCUGAUCUAUCAAGAGUCAAGGAGUAAGACCCAGAGCGUAAAAUCAUACCAACGGUGAAAUUCUGUGAAGGAACCAAGGUAUCAGUCGGGUUCUGGAACGAGGACCAUAUUGGAACACUUUCAUUAUUGAGGAGCUGAAAGUUGCCCAAAUCAUCAAGAGACGCAUGUGAAACACCUCUGCUAGCAGUAGCAGAGUCCCAAACAAUGGCACCGGAGCCAUUAGUUAAACGGAGGGCUCCAUUGGAAAGCAAAUUUAAAGUCCCACCAGAGUUGACAACAAGAGAAGCUCCAUCACCAGUGCCAUUGCUGCCAUCACUAGCUGACCAUACAAUAACAUCUCCAGCAUUGUAAGUGAUGGCAGCCACAAAAGAGGAAGGUGUAACAGGAAUGAAAGAAAGUGAGAAACUGGUAUUGGGUGACGACCAUGAUUGGUUUCUAUUUGAAGCUUGAAGAGUUGAGCCUAAAGGUAUGAGAGUGGAAGAAGAAGAAAUGGUGAAGAGGAAAUUGAGGUAGAGGAGAAAUAGAGAAAACUUUGACAUUUUCUUUUUCCUUCUUUUCCCGAGGUUUCUUUGCUUUGUUUUCCUGCCAUUAUGUCAGUCCAAUGUUUUGAAGGGUUACCAAAUGACAGCGACCUAUAAUCUGCCUCGCAUUAAAUAGCAUUUGUUGAGAAAGAAAUGAGUGAUAGACAAAAGUCAAAAAAACCGGUUUCUUAAACAAAAUUUUGGCUGUUAAAUUCUUCCAUUAGCCCCUCUACUUAGUAAAAGUUAUGGAUUUAAUUGCUAUACUUUAAUUUGGUCUUUUUCAAUCUUGAUAAUUGUUAAAUUCAUUCAUUUCAGUUUUUCUAUUUCUAAAAGUUGAUGAAGCUAACAUGUUAUUAUAUGUGUAAUAUUAUAUCAACUUAUUAUUUUCACGUAUUACUCAUUAAAAAUUUAGUUCAUAACCUAUACAAGGCUGCUCCUUUUAGGGUCAACAGACAUAAAUUUAACUUGUCAGUCAUGUAAUAUUUUAAUUUUACUAUUUUAGGUUUCAUUUAAAUUACGUAAAACCAAAAUUACAUUGUAAUUAUAUAAAAAUAUUUAUUUACUUUUUAAACAACUGCAUCAAAGGUAAAACCAAGGAACCCAAUAGACCUGUUUCCUAUAUCCGAUCCUAGCGCCCUGUGGUAUGACACCCAUUUAUAUGGAAACUGAAACGAGAACAAGAAACAAAAAAACAACGGUCUGUAGAGGAUAAGAUUUCAUUCCUGAAACAAUAUUAAAAUAAUAAUUUAUUACUCAAAUAACAUAGCUUCACUUUUAUUUAUCCCUAUGAUAUAUUUUAAAUAGUAAAAAAAAUUUUGAGUUUUGUGAAACCCAAAAAAGAUCGUAUCAACUUAAGGUGAAAACUUAAAAUUAUAAUUUUUUAAAAUAAAAAAUUAUUAUGAAAAAUUAAAACUCUUUAAAAUUUUAAAAAAAUUAGGGAUAAAAAGUAUUUACAAAAAAGAUAUUGUAAAUGUUUAAAAAUUUUAAAAAUCGAUUGACCCAUGAUUUAGUACAUACUGAUUGACCCAAGCUAAAAAACUAUAUGAAUUGACAGUUGAAUCGAUUUUUAUAAUUUAUUUACUUUAAACCGGUUAGGCCAAUCAUUUUGUGAACUGAUUGAUUAAACUAAUUUGAAAUUAGUUCAACUACCAAUUCAAUCGAUUUUUUAGUUUAGUUUGAUACCGACCAAUUUUUGGUCCAACUAAUCUAGUACGAUUCAAAUUAUUAUUUUUUAGAAUUUAUUUUUAAAUUUUAAAGAAUUUUAUUUUCAUAAUUUUUUUUAUUUUUAAAUUUUUUUUUACUUUUUAUUCUUUUUUAUACUUUUUUGGGUUUUCAAAUUUUGGCAUUUGAAAACCCAAUUUUUUUUUACUAUUUCAAACUUAUCAUUUGAAUAAAUAAAAAUAGCUCUAUAUUAUUUGAGCAAUAAAUUAUUUUUAAAAAAAACUUGCCAGUCGAUUAAUUUGUAUAAAAAACCUUGUCGGUUAAUUAAUUUGUAUGCUCAUCAUUUAUCAAUAUAUAUAUAUAGUCACGUUAAGUCAUGUGGAUUUUUUUUUUAAAACAAUUCAAAUUAUUUUAAAUUUUAGGUUUAAUUCGAAUUUUAAUCUUUGAAUUAUUUUUCAUUUUGCUUCUUUUGUUUUUUUUGGCCCACUUCAAUUACUAGGGUUAUUAUACGUUUUUAAUUUAGUCUCAAGCAUUAUUAGAUUUCUCAAUUUAAUCCUUUAAACGUUAAAAAAUAUAUCGAUUAGGAUAUCCAGCUAAUUAUAAAUUAUCACAUGGUAUAUGCUGAUACAAUGACGAUGUCAUCAUUUGAAAAAAGAACCUAAAAAUCUUUAAAAAUAAAAUAAAAUUAUAAAUUUAUAUAAACAAAAUUAUAUAUAUACUUGUUUAAAAUUUUUAAAAUAUGUUAGAACUUUUCAAAUAUGAUAAAAAAUUAUUAAAAAUAAUAAAAAUGAUUAGAAAUUGUAAAAUAUAAAAAAAUAUAAAAAAAUUAUUAUAAAUUGUAAAAAAUUAUUAAAAUUUUAAAAAAUGGUCAAAUUUGUUGUAUCUUAGAAUAAAUCACAUUUAAAAUAUAAAAAAUUUGAUAUAAAAAUAGUAUAUCAUAAUACCCAAAAAAAAUAUACCAAAAAAUAUUUUAAUAAUAAUUUAAUACAUUUUUAAAUUAUAUUUUUAAUAAUACCAAAAAAUAUUUUAAUAAUAAUUUAAUACAUUUUUAAAUUAUAUUUUUAAUAUUUUAAAAUACAUAAAUUUUUAGUAUUGUACUAGUGUUAUUGGUAACAUGUUUAUUUGGCUCAACUCCCCCUAUUCAAUGUCUGAAGUAAGUUUCAUUUGUAAUAGCCUGAUUUUUCAGUGGUGUCGAAAACAGUGAUUCGAGGCCACCAAAUCCGGCGAGUAAGUUCGUAAAGGUUUUGAAUUGGUAAUUUGUGUUUUAUAAUGAUUUAUUAGAUCAAGUAGUUUUAGAAAGUGAGGUAUCAGGACCUCGUUUCUAUAAACCGAGUCGUAAAUAUUUUUAUAAAUAUUAACAGAGUGUCAUUCAGGUGGUAUUAAAUUUUUGUUGAAAAGUUUUAACGUUUCGAUAGUUAAUUAAUUAAAAAGGACUAAAUUAAAAAAUGUGCAAAACUUGCUAAUUAUAAUAUUUAAGUGAUUAAAUGGCUUGAUGAAUAAAUGAGGGAGGACUUAAGAAAUAAAUAAACCAAAAUUAAAAGGUAAGGCGGCAUAUGAAGGAAAAAUAAUAAAAUAAAAUGAUUCAAUGGCAAAAUUGUAAUUUUGAUGAAAUUAAAAAUAAAACAAAUUGAAUUUAAAGGUUUUCUAGAUAUUUCUUCACCAAAUUUUAGCCAAAAACAACCAUAGUAAAGAGCUUAAGCUGGUUUUUCAUAUUUUUGCUUCAUGUGAGUUCAAUUCUUACUAGUUUUUUUUUAUAAUUUUUAUAUUUUUGAGAUUGUUACAAUUAAGUCCAACUAAACUAUACCUUUGUUUUUUAUUUUAUUAAAACUAUUGGAAGUUUCCAUUGAUAAAUAUUAGAUUUUUUUGAUUAAUAACAUGGAUUUAGAGUUUUGAUUUCAUUGUAUGAUGAUUUUAUAAAGUGAUUUUCGUUAAAUAUUGAUUUUAGGAUUAAAUUGUGAAAAUGUUAAAAUAUUAGAGUUUGAUAGUGAAUUUUGGAUUUAUUAGGGGUUGUAUGAAGGCCUAGAAUAUAUGGAUAAAUUAUUGAUUGAAAAAAUUAGUUAACUUGAUAGAUUAACUAAUUAAGGGAUUAAAUUGCAAAAAUUGUAAAAGUUGGGGUAAUUAUAUAAAUUUGAAAAUAAAAAGGGUAUUAAUUGUGAAAUGAAUUUAAAAUGAAAUAUAUGCUAAUAGAUGAAUAAUUUUAUAUUUUAGAUCAAGAUCCCGUAGAUACUCAUGAAAAAGGAAAAAUAGCAGAAUAGUUCCUGAACUUCUACAAUUAUUACAAUUCAAUCCAGGUAAGUUCGUACGGUUAAAAUUUAAUAUUUUUUAUAAAUUGAUUAAUGGUAUUAUUUAUUUAUUCUAUUGUUGGAAUUAUAAUAUUAAAUUGGAUUUCGGUUUGAAUGGAACACGAGAUUUGAGUACAUUCGUAUUUUGGUGUAUGAUGGUAUUGGAAGGAAACAACGACAUUUUUCCCAAGUAAACUGGGGUUUAGAAUUUGUUGCAAACUCUCAUGUUUUACUUUCUAUUCAGCUCUUACGAGCUUUUGUUUAGCUCUUACGAGCUUCUGUUGGCGUAUUCGGGAGGAUCAGCUCUUAUGAGGUUCUAUUAACGAUGUAUUCUUAUCUGUAAGUCGUUCUUUGAAUGAAAAAUUUUGGUAAGGUGAUUUAUUAAAUGAAUUUGAAAGACAUAUUAUUUAUUUUUAUAUUGGAUUGAAUAUGGAUGUAUUUAUCAAUAGAAGUUGUGAAUGACAGGAAAUUGACAGUGAAUGACAGGGAAUUGACAUGAAUGAUUUUAUUUAUUUGACUUGUUAUAGUAGGUUCGGUAAGAUUUUGUUUAACCAGUCGAACUUACUAAGCUUCAUUAAGCUUAUAUAUGUUGUUUAAUAUCUUUGUAGAUUUUCGGAAAGUUGGACGAUCGGAUCAACACUCAAGUCAAACUAUCCAGCUUAUCUCAGUAGUUUUUAAAACAUUAAAUACGAUUUAUAUGACAUGUAUAGGCUUUUGUUCAAUUUUGGUCAAAAUUUAGCUUAUGUAAAUAUCAUGAAUAAUAUUUUGUUUAUAUAACAACUUACAUAUUGGCAUGAAAUUAAGGUAUAUAGAUUGUGAUGUUAGUAUAAGUGAUAUAUGUAUGUAUGUAAUUGAGUUAUAGUGAACUUUGGUAACUUAGUUAGAUAAAUUAGAUAGGUAAGUUUGGAUAUUGGUGGACAUAUUUUUAAAUUGUCAUUAGAGGUACCUAUGGGUAUAUUAGUUGUAUGUGAUAAAAAUAUAUGUUUAAGACUUGAUUUUAGCUUGUGUUGAAUGCCUUGUCAUGGCUUGUUAAUGUGUAAAUUGUUAAGGCUAGGUUGGCAUUAAUUUGGCUGAAAAUAUGGCUUAAAAAUGACCUAUUUUCAUCUACAUAGGUAGAGACACAGGCAUGUGUCUCAGCCGUGUGUGACACACGGCUAGGUGAUAUGGCCGUGUGUCCCCUGUAUCUUUUAGGAAUGCAAGUCAGUAUGCUCACAAGGGAUAGCACACGGGCAUGUGACUUGGCCGUGUGACCUUAGUCAAAGAGUUACGAAUGCCCACACGGCCUGAGGCACGGGCGUGUCUCUUGACGGUGUGAGUCACACAGCCGUGUGACCCCUGUAGUAUUGAAAAUUUUAAACAAUUUUGAAAAAUUCUCUGAGUUUUUGAUUUAGUCCCGACUUGUUUCUAAUAUGUAUUUCGGGUCUUGAGGACUCGUUCAAUGGACAAUAUAUAUGAUUUUGAUUAGUUUUAUUAUGAGUAUUGAUAUGUAAUGAAAUGUUUGAAAUUUUUGUCUGAUUGAUCCGUAAACUCCGAUAAUGCUCUGUAACCCUAUUUCGGCGACGGAUAUAGGUUAGGGGUGUUACAUCAUUCAUCCAUCAUCAUGCACAUGCACCUUCUUUAUUUUGUACUAAAGUUCUUUAGAAUAGUCAAACACUAUACAAUAGUUCUUCAGAUAUACCAAUUAUAAAUUCAUAUUGAUUUAUAAAACAAUUAUUAUAAGUGGUAUCCUUUCAAGAAAAUGAUCUCAUGUUCAAGCUCUAGUAAAUGUGAUUUAUAAAAUUUUAAAAAAUAUUAAAAUUUCUAAUACAUUUUUUUUAAAAAUUAGUAGUUUAUAUAUAUUACAAUUUUAUAAAUUUUCUAUUUUUUUAAUAAUUUUUUAAAAUUUUAAAUAUUUUUUUGUAAAUUUUAAUAUUUUUAUUUUUGAAAAGAUUUUAAGGUUUUUUCGGAUAGUGACAUCAUUAUGAUGUGUUACAUCCCAAAAAUGGGAUUAGUAGAAUUAGGUUUUAUGACACCGAGAGUGGUUACGUCUCGAUUUAUAAGGUUCUCAUUGUGCAUUUGUUAAACAAGGAAGUUAUUGGCCUAAUGGUUAAAUGUUAGUGAAUUUGUCAUUAAAACCUAGGUUCAAAUCCCUUCCCUCGCAUCAGGCGCGAAGCUUAAUGGUAAAGAGUUAAAGAAUCUAUACUAAGGUCCCAGGCUCAAUAGUUAAACGUUAGUAUCCCUUCCUGGAGGUCCAAGAUUCGAAUCUCUCCCCUCUCAUCAUUUUCAAUUUUUCGGCAAACCUCUAAUUCUAACCCUAAUUGACCCUUUGUUUCUAAUUUGGGUUAAUUGUAUGUGCCAACCCUAGGGUUUACAAACCCUAAGAAUUUAACCAAUUCUUUCCUAAUUAGAAUUCAUAUCUUACCCUCCCUUAAAAUUCAAAUAGAAUUAGAAUUCCACAAUAUUUUUCUCUUCAUUUCCUAAUUAGAUUUUCAUAUUACCCCUUUUCAAAUCCUAAUAGAAUUUGAUGUCUAUCUUUCUAUUUCUUUUCUAUUUCUUUUCUUUACCUUUUCUUUAUACCAUAUUUUCAUCUUAUUGUUGUUAAUUAAUUUUCUUUCCGCUACCCAAUCAUUCCCUCAUUCGUUGAUUUCUACCAAUAUUUAGAUUGUCGUUAAUAAGCUUCUGUUAUCUUUGCCAAAGAUUAGUAAGUGCAUUCUUUCAAUGAUUAAAUCUUGAAUUACCGUGUUAAUCUUUCAAUUCAAUUAAUCAAUUUCUUUGGAUCUUGCCAAAUCCUUGAUGAUCUUGCCAAAUCUUGAUACCAAUCAUUAAUUGUGUAUAUUAGUCAUUGAAGGACAGGAUCUAGGUGAAUCAGAUCAAAAUCAAUCGUAAGGAAUGUCAAUCAGAACCAUGGUGAAAGGUGUGUGUUCUUUACUAAUUGAAUCGAGGCAAACUGGGUGUAGGUUUAGGGCCACAUGGUUUCUCACACGUCCACCACACGGUUAUGUGCUACUGUUUUGUUAGGGUGUUUCGUUUUAUACAUGACCAAGAACCUUCCACACAGCCUGUCAUACGACCGUGUCUCCCCUGUAGGAUAAUUUUAAAUUUUACCACUCGGCCACAAUCUGUUACACGGCUUGGCCACACGGUCGUGUGACCUCUAUUUUACAGUUUUACUCAGAAAUUUGUGAAUUAUUCUGCUUAUUCCUUGUAUAGUCCCCAUAUUAUUUUAGAGUUUUAUUUCACGCAAAUGAAUCCUUGAUAAUAUGUGUAUUGGAACCCAUGAUCCGAGUGACUGAAUUAUUAUUGUCAUAUGCAUAAUAUGUGAACAAUACAUACUUGUUGUCUCUGUAUUACUAAUUGUAUGUUUAGCAUGCCUUUUGAUAUCGUUAAAUUGAAUACCUGAUAAGCAUGACUUUUUCUACUGUAUUGAUUCGUUAUACGCAUGUUUAUUGCUACCAUAUUGAUCUAUUAUAAGCAUAUCAUAUUGCAUUACAUGGGGACAGAGGAAGUAUGAGCAGUUUAUUUGCACCAAUGAGUGGUUUAUCCACAACGUACUAGCAACUUGUCUACGAAAACUUUUUAUAAAAAACCUUGGUGGUUCAUCCACAAUUUUUUUUAUGAGCAGUUUAUCUUCAAUGAUGAGUGGUUUAUCUCCAACGAUGAGUGGUUUUAUCCACAACGUGGUGCAAAGAUGGAGGAGUUCUAGGAACUCCUACUGUGGUGUGUAGUUAUGUAACACCCUAACCUGUCUCUAUCGUCGAAUUAGGGUUACAGAGUAUUACGACAAUGGUCAAAUCAAACAACAACAUAAAACUAUUCAAUCAUUAUUUUCAAUAUCAAAUAUUCAAAACCAAUCAUCAUUCAUAGCAUAUAUACAAUUAUGGGCCUUACAUUAAGCCUACGGAUCCUAAAAAUUGAUUUAUAAAUAAUCAGGGACUAAUUUGAAACAAAAUAGAAAAUUGUAAAAAAAAUUGAAAACAGGGGUCACAUGAUCGUGUGGCCAGGCCGUUUGAAAAAACUUAGAUUGUGUGGCUUAAGAACAAAGCUGUGUAGCCUAGUUGUAGUAGCUCGUUUUUAGUUAUGCUAUAAAUAAUGGUUUCGGGACCACAGUUCUGACAAGUGAGUCAGCAGUUUAUUAUUUAUAGAGUUAUUACAAGUUUGUAUUAAAAUUUGGUUAGAAAAUAUUAACAUUUAGAUAGUUAAUUAAGUAAAAAGGACUAAAUUGUAAAAGUUAAAAAAGUUAGUUUCAAUUUGUUAAAGGCGCUAAAUGGCUAUUGAAAUGUGAGUUGAUGGAUUUAUAUAGUAAAUAAACCAUAUAGAUAGAUAAUGGACAAUUAUGGACAAUGUUUUGUUAUUGGUUAAGUAAGAUUUUUUAAGGGUAAAAAGGUAAUUAGAUAAAUAAAACUAAAACAAAUUAAACCAAAAAGGAAGUUGCCACCAUCCUUACCCGUUUCUAGUGAUUUUUAUGUUUUUGUAAUUGUUGUAGUGUAACACCCCCUAACCCCAAACCGUCGCCAAAAUAGGGUUACGAGGCAUUACCGGACCUAUCAGACAACUUACGAAUAAUUCACAAUUAAAAUAACAUUCAUAGUAUAAUUUAAUAAUUAAAUCCCUAUAAUGGACUUUCGAAGCCCAAAACAUGUAUUAAAAGUAUAACGGAAUUUGUUCGAAUAUUCUGAAAAAUUUUUCGUAAUAAAUUUUUUUUUAAAAUUUCGAUAGUAUUUCUGCUUAUUUUUACAUAAAACCCCCUGCAAACUUAAAACAAAAAACAAACCAAUACCAAGAUUUCAAUCAAAGAUUUUAUACCUUAGAACGCUACUAAAUCAUGCUUAAUAAAUUGAUUUACUACUUUAAUUAUAAAGAUUAAAGUUAACAUGUAAAAAAAAACUAAUUCAUAUCUUUCAUUCCAUUUCAAGAUUUAAUACUAAGUUUACUAAUUUAUAAUUUUAAACUUUAUUUAUCAUCCAAAAGAUCAUAACCAUUUACUUACAACCAAGAUCAUUUAGCAUAUAUAUUUACAUAUAUAUAUACGACUCGUGUACAAUCACCUAGUGUCACGGACUUAGAGUUUUCUCACGGAUCCGUGCGGCCUUAGGCAGUUUCUUUGCUCAAAAACGCCUAAGUCAGCCUAACUUGCAGUAAUAAAGGAUUCAACAGUAAAAAUGCCUAAGUCAGCUUAACUCGCAACAAUAAAGGAUUCAACAGAAUUCCCUUAAGGUUUCCACGAAGAACAGCAGAAGAACGAAGUAAGAACGACCCUUGAAAGAUGAACAAAAAGCAAGAACACUUAAGAGAAAAGUUUGUGAAUACUCUCAAAAUUCUUAUUAACAACUGAAUGAAUUACAAUGAGGAGAGAGUCCUCUAUUUAUAGUUGAGGCUCUCCAAAAUCAACGGUCUAAAUCAAAAUACAUCAAUGGCUACAAUUAAAAGCAAUCACAAUAUCAAAUCUCUAAGAUUACAUAAUCGUAUCUUCUAAAGAUUUCAUUUAAUAUCUAGGAUCACAUAUCUCAAAAGAUUACCUUCCAUAUUUUCCAAGCAUAUCUUCAAAAGAUUACUUUCCUUAUUUGCCAAGCUCCGGAGAUGGGCUUUUAAUUCCUCCAAGCAAUGGACCAGUCUAGUUGGGCCAAAUGACCUCCCUCGAAUGGGAUGGAUCGCACGAAUCCGUCAUGGUUGCGAGAUCCCAUGCGCAACCCAUGACAUUCUCCCCCACUUGUUCUAACGACGCCCUCGUCGCAUCCUCCUCAUGGAACUGGUCAAUUUUUCCUUGGAACUGGCACAAUGCCUCGGCAGGUUCUCAACUUGCUUCGCUAUCAGGAAGUCCCUUCCAUCGAACUAAGUAUUCAUGACGCGGUCGAUGGUACUUUUGUCUAAUCACACGGUCUGCCUCAAUGGUUUCCACGUCGCGGUCAUAAGAGACCUUUACCCCCAUUGGUGCUCGUUCAGACUUGCCCCGAUUCAGAUCUUCUUGGUCCCAAUGAAAUGGCUUAAGCAUACUUACAUGGAACACUGGGUGGAUUUUAAGUUUUGGAGGUAACUCAAGCUUGUAUGCCACUUUGCCCACUCUCUUAACAACUUUAAAUGGCCCCUCAUACCUUCGCACGAGCCCUUUGUGCAAGCCCGUAUAUCGCAACAUCAAGUGUAGUUUGGCAAGGACUGAGUCACCCACUUGAAAUUGCACGUCUCUUCGGUUUUGAUCGGCCCACUUCUUAUUGCGCUUGCUUGCCUUGUGUAAACAAGCCCUAGCCAAGUCAUUCUUCUCUUGCUAAUCCUUCGCAAAACGAUAAGCUACCGGAUUUGGUCCUGUAUAACGAGUUACCACAGCAUUGGGUGUGAGUGGCUGUUGGCCCGUCACUAUCUCAAAUGGACUUUGGUUCGUUGCCCCACUUCGCUGCAAGUUAUAUGAGAAUUGAGCCACAUCCAAUAAAUUUGGCCAAUCCCUUUGUGUGGCACUCACAUAGUGUCGUAGAUAUGUUUCUAACAAUGCAUUUACUCUCUCAGUUUGCCCAUCGGUUUGCGGAUGCAUACUCGUGGAAAAGUUCAAGUCUGAGUCCAUUGACUUGAACAACUCGGUCCAGAAUCGACCUGUGAAUCGCCCAUCUUGAUCACUGACAAUCGACUGUGGCACGCCCCAAUAUUUUACCACAUCUCUAAGGAAUAAACGAGCUGCCUCCUCAGUAGGACAUUCCUUGGUGGCCGGAAUGAACGUCGCAUACUUCGAGAACCUGUCCACCACAACAAGAAUACUCGCAAACCCGUCAGAAUUAGGUAAACCAACAAUAAAAUCCAUGAAUAAACUCUCCCAUGGUCUUUCCGGAAUGGGUAGGGGUUGAAGCAAACCGGCUGGGGUCUUUAACUCAACCUUGUCUUGUUGGCAAACCAGACAAGUCUUCACAUAAGUUUCCACAUCAUCACCCAUGUGAGGCCAAUAAUAACGUUCCUCCAAAAGGGCCAAAGUAUGGUGCAUCCCUGGGUGGCCCGCCCAUCUCGAGUCAUGGCACUCUUUCAUGACUUCCUUACGUAGCUUCCCAUAAUAAGGCACAUAGAGGCAACGCCCUUGGGUGUAUAGCAUCUCUCCAUCAAGCCAAAAUAUUCUCGUUUUUCCUUCCUUGGCCAACUCCGUCAAAUUUUUGGCUGUAGGAUCAUGGGACAAUCCUUCUCGAAUACAUUCCAACAAGGAACCAUCAGGUUGGCUAAUUGCCGCAAAUUCCAUCUUUCGACUUAGUGCGUCGGCCACAAUGUUGGCACUCCUCGGCUUAUACUCCAUGGUAAAGUCAAAUUCAGCUAAGAAGACCUGCCAACGAGCCUGUUUGGGAGACAACUUUUUCUGGGUUAGAAAAUAACUGUUGGCAACAUUAUCAGUAAGGACAACGAACCUAGAACCCAAUAAAUAAUGCCUCCAAGUGCGCAAGCAAUGUACCACCGCAGUCAUCUCCUUCUCUUGGACCGUAUAUCUUCGCUCUGUCUCAUUAAGCUUUCGACUCUCGAAAGCAAUAGGAUAUCCAUCUUGCGUUAGGACUCCCUCGAUAGCAUAAUCUGAUGCAUCUAUGUGUACCUCAUAUGGCCUCGAAAAAUCUGGCAAGGCAAGCACAGGUUCCUUCGUCAUCUCUUGCUUCAAUUGAUUAAAGGCCCUCUCACAUUCUGGAUUCCAAUCCCAUACCUUCCCUUUUUUCAACAUGUCCGUCAAGGGUGUGGUAAUUCUCGAGUACCCUUUAAUAAAGCGUCGAUAGUAAUUUGCCAACCCAAGAAAAGAUCUCAACUCUGUCACCUUGGUUGGGGGCUCCCACUCGAAAAUGGCUCGAACUUUGCUCUUAUCCAUUCGGAUCUUACCCCCUCCCACAAUGUGGCCUAAGAAUGACACCUCUUGUUGGGCAAAUGAGCACUUCUCCUCCUUAACAAACAACUCAUUUUCCCUCAAAGUUUGGAACACCUCCCUCAAGUGUUCCACGUGCUCCUCGAGAUAUUUGCUAUACACCACAAUAUCAUCAAGAUAAACAACCACAAAACGAUCAAGGAAAGGUUGAAGUACCUUAUUCGUUAGGGUGCAGAAGGUAGCUGGGGCAUUCGUGAGUCCAAAAGGCAUCACAAGGAACUCGUAUGAACCAUAUCGUGUCACACAAGUUGUCUUUGGUUCAUCCCCCUCGGCUAUCCGAACUUGAUGGUACCCCGAUCUCAAAUCCAACUUGGUAAACCAUCUUGCACUACCAAGUUGGUCGAACAAAUCUGCAAUAAGAGGAAUAGGGUACUUGUUCUUUACAGUGACCUUGUUUAGAGCCCGAUAAUCAAUACACAUUCUCAAGGACCCAUCAUAUUUCUUUUGAAACAACACUGGCGCACCGUAUGGGGAUUUAGAUGGUCUAAUAAAUCCUACAUCCAAUAGCUCCUUCAGUUGUUUUCGCAAUUCUUCUAACUCUGGCGGAGCCAUACGAUAGGGGGCCCUUGUUGGCGGCACCACGUUGGACACUAACUCAAUUUUGUGGUCCACCUCCCUCUUUGGUGGCAAACUUUUUGGCAACUGAGCAGGCAUCACAUCCCAAAAGCACUACAAUAAUUGGCUCACUUCUUUCGGGAUUUCACUAACGGACUAAACGGUAUCCUCGAUCUUCAAGGUAGCCAAAUAAGAGACUUUAUCCCUGCGUACUCCUUUAGAAAAUUGAAUUGCUGACAGUGUUUUUCCCUCUAAGCUUCUCUUCCUUGUCAUUCUUACCAUGCAUGGAUGGUUCGAACCCGCAAUCACCAUGUAAUCACUCGAAGUGGCAAUAAGUGCCUUAACCUGAUCAAGAAAACUUAGUCCAACCACACAAUCAUAGUCAUCGAGUGGUAUUACCUUAAUGGAUACCUUGCCGGCCCAAUCACCCAGUUGAAGAUCCACUCCCUUGGCAAUACCCUUAAUUGGGACACUUUCUGAGUUCACUGUUUUGAUCCGACCCAGCUCAUUCUCUAUCUUGAGCCCAAGUUUCUGAACUGCCUCUUCGGACAUGAACAAAUCAGACGCCUCAGUGUCGACCAGCGCAUUCAAUUUUCUGCCGGCCACAAUAAUGUCCACAAACAUCAAUCCAUGAUUCGUUCUAUCUUCAACACCCCCUAGUAUCAAACCGAGAUUGUUGUCAUCCACAUCUGACUCCCCUUUUGUUUCCAUAGCCGUGAGAGCGGCCUUCUUUGGGCAGUCCCUGAUCAUAUGUGGACCAUCGCAGUGAAAGCAACUUAUAGGCCCACUCUUUCUCUUGUCCCAAAGUUUCUUACCGUUGCCAUUCCUAGCGGGCCUUUCUUUAUCUCCCCCACUAUUACCCUUUUGAUUGAAUCUGGGUUUAGAAGAAUUCACAUUGUCUUUCUUCCCACCAAAUUCAGCAAGCGAUUCUGCCAAAGACAUCGCCUUGGUAAGCUCUUGGGUUCCUCGGCGUUGCAACUCUUGCUUUGCCCACGGUUUCAACCCAUCCAUGAAGGAAAAGAAUGCUUCUUUCUCACCCAUAUCUGAGAUUUGAAGCAUAAGUUCGGUAAAUUCCUGUACAUACUCUCUCACAGUGCCUUGUUGCGUAAGCCGGUGCAACUUUGCCCAAGCCUCAUCCUCGGCAUACUUUGAGUAAAACUGUGCUUUAAACUCACGUCGAAACUCCUCCCAAGUUCCAAUUUCAGUCCCACCACGACUCACAUCAGUGGACCUACGACGCCACCACAACAAAGCAACGUCAGUGAGAUACAUAACAGCAGUAGUUACCUUAGUGGCAUCCUCCGUAAUGCCUUUGGCACGAAAGUAUUGCUCGAUUCCCCAAAGGAAGUUGUCCACAUCUCUAGCAGACCUUAUUCCCUUGAACUCCUUUGGCUUGGGAACAUCAACACUGGGCUUGGGUGCUACAGCAGCUAACUCUCCAUUGCCCAAAGCAACCUUGUAGAAUGUGAGUUCACCCUUGAGCUCCGCAAUCUCCUCUUUCAAGGCUGUUACCAUAGCCUCAAUGACAUCAUCUCUGCCAUUCAGUUUUUCAACAUUAUCCAACACAUACUCUUUGAGUUGCUCCUGCAUGGACUGCAACCCACCAUGGAGCCUAUCAUCGACAUCAUCAAUCCUCUCCUUGAUGUCUCCCACGAAAUCCUCGAGAGUGAUGACUCGAUCCUCCAAAGCUGACAGUAUGUCUCUCGAACGACUAGCUUUCCUAGCCCUCCCACGGGUCUCCAUUCUCUCAACAUUCUCAGCAGCUUCUUUGGACAUCUUUCAGUGGUACCUACAAACACUGGCUCGGAUACCAACUGUCACGGACUUAGAGUUUUCUCACAGAUCCGUGCGGCCUUAGGUAGUUUCUUUGCUCAAAAACGCCUAAGUCAGCCUAACUUGCAGUAAUAAAGGAUUCAACAGUAAAAACGCCUAAGCCAGCUUAACUCGCAACAAUAAAGGAUUCAACAGAAUUCCCUUAAGGUUUCCACGAAGAACGGCAGAAGAACGAAGUAAGAACGACCCUUGAAAGAUGAACAAAAAGCAAGAACACUUAAGAGAAAAGUUUGAGUGAAUACUCUCAAAAUUCUUAUUAACAACUGAAUGAAUUACAAUGAUGAGAGAGUCCUCUAUUUAUAGUUGAGGCUCUCCAAAAUCAAUGGUCUAAAUCAAAAUACAUCAAUGGCUACAAUUAAAAGCAAUCACAAUAUCAAAUCUCUAAGAUUACAUAAUCGUAUCUUCUAAAGAUUUCAUUUAAUAUCUAGGAUCACAUAUCUCAAAAGAUCACCUUCGAUAUUUGCCAAGCAUAUCUUAAAAAGAUUACUUUCCUUAUUUGCCAAGCUCCGGAGAUGGGCUUUUAAUUCCUCCAAGCAAUGGACCAUUCCAGUUGGGCCAAAUGACCUCCCUCGAAUGCGAUGGAUCGCAAGAAUCCGUCAUGGUUGCGAGAUCCCAUGUGCAACCCAUGACACUAGUACAUGCCACUUAAACAAAAGGAAGAAAUACAUCACCAAAAUUUUUUUGUUGGAGUCGAGAUCUUUCUGGAUGCUGAACUGGACCUUGAACUCUAAUAACCUGUGUACGGAAACAACCGUACGCUGAGUAUUUCAUACUCAGUGAUAUUACUAUAAAUUAAACUAUUUAAUAUUAAAAAUUACAAACAUCAACCAUAAGCCUUUAAAAAAAUCAUUUAAACUAAUUAUACAUAAUUAUAAAUCACUUCAUAAAUCUUAAAUUCAUAUAUAUAUAUAUUUCAUAUACUAAUUCAAUUCAUAAUUUAAUUCAUACAUUCUUUCUCGUACUUUUCAAUAGUGCCAAAUCAAUCAAUCUCAUUUUCAAAUUUUCAUUUCCAUUAUUUACCCUAUUAACAAGGCUUAGACUCUAACAAAUACAUGGAUUCCACCCAAAUACACCAGAAGAUCCAACCUAACACACCCGAUCUAGUCUGAACUACAAAUCUCCUCAUCAUAUCACAAAUCCUAUGGCAUGUCAUUUGUAUCCAAUCUAGUCCGAUAAGUUAAUAGGGUAUUAUUUUACUUUUCCAAUUUCAAAUUCAUUUCCACAACAAUUUCAAAUAUUCAAUCAAAUCAAAACAUCUAUUAUUUCAAUUCACAUAUAAUUCAAUAUUCACACAUAUUCUUACUUAAUUUCAAAUGUUAUUACUUACCUUAAUUUAAAUAUCCCAUGAUUACAAUUUCAAUAUAGCAUUUAGUAAAUAGUUUAAGUUAUAGUAAUACAAACCUAGAAUACGCGUUUACUCCUCAACAAUCUUUUCUUUUCCUUUGGAUGCCGAUGCCUCAUUUUCCUUGUUAGCUAUUUAAAUUAUAAUUAAUUUCACUAUUAUUUACAACAUUAAAUUAUAAAAAUAAAAAUAAUAAUUAAAUUUUAUUCAAUUCCUACUUAUUCCCAAUUUAAUUCUAACUAAGCUUACUUACUUUUCUAGCUUAAUUCAUACUUCUUUUCUACUUAAUUUCUUGCCAUAUUUAACUCAACUAUUCAAUAUUCAUAAUUAAACCCUAAUUUAAGAUUUCUUAUAACUUAAUCCCAACUAUGUAAAACUUAUAGCUCACUUUACAAUUUGAUCCUUUAAUCAAUUCUAACUAAAAUUUCUAUCAAUUAAACCCCUAAUUUAACAACUUGUUCAACAUGAAUCAUGUUCAAAAACCUAUGAACUUCCAUAACCUCCACUUAAUUUCAACAAAACUUUGUUUUAAAGCUUCUAAAACAUCAAAAUUAAGAGAAAAUGGCUAAAUUUAGCUUACCAAUUAAACUUGAAGCUUUAAAAUCCCAAUUUUCCCUUUUCUUUUCUUUCCCUUUUUCUUCCCCUGUUUUCGUUUUGUUCUCUGUUUCUUUUCUGUUCUUUUGUUUCUUUUUCUUUUUAUUUACUUACUUUACUUUAUUUUAUUUGCUUUAUUAUUAUUUUUAAUUACUAAAUAAUUAAUAUAAUAUCAAUAUAAAAUAUCUUAAGCUUAAAUAUUAAGUGAACCAAUUGUUUAAUAACAUUUGUACAUAUUUAUUUUAUUACACUUGUAUAAAUUUUAUACCAUUUAUUUGUCAAUUAUCUUAUUUAUUUAAUAAAAAUCUAUUUAAUAAUUUAAUAUAAUUAUUACAAAUGUAUAUACUUUUAUCAAUACAUUUGUAUUAAAUCACUACCAUACAUUUGUCUUUGUUUAACUUAUUUCAUAAUAUUAUAAUAAUAAUAAUAAUAAUAAUAACAAUUAAUAUAAUUUAUUAUUUCAUAUUAAACUGAUUAUUAAUGAAAUUUUAGUAGAAAAUAUCACAUAAAAAUUUUCAAUCUUACCCAGCUUAUGCUGCCUCAUACUUAUGAAUUGGCUUAAUUGCCAUUUUGAUCCUUUAUACUUUCUUUUAAUCUAUAAUUAAACUUUUACCCUUUACUCUAUUUAGUCCUUUGUCCUAAUUAUUCUUAAUUAGACUAAAUUCACCUAAUUAAUACCUAAUUAAGCACUCAACUAAACUCAUAAUUACUUCUAAUAAUUAUUUAUGACUCAGUUUACUAAGAUGGAGGCCCGAUAAUGUACUUUUCCUAUGCUCGUGAAUUUUGGGUCAUUACAUGUAGCUUAAUGUAGCUAACCGAGAGUUAAUUUGUAAAACUAUUAAAAGCUUAAGGACUUACCAUGAAUGAUUAUAUGUGUUUGUGAACUUAGUUGAUAGAUUCAAGAGAUUGAUAGCUAAAUAGGAUUAUUUUGUAAAGUGACUUUUAGUACAUUAAAUUAGUAAAAUUUCAUGAAAUUCUUGUGAAAAAUUAAUGAAUAUGAGCUAAAUAGGGACUAUAUAGAAAUCAACUAGCUUGAGUUUUGCUUAAAUAUGGUUAAUUUGUAAGUUUCGGGUUUAGGGACUAAAUUGCAUAAAGAGUAAAAUAUUAGGGGUAAUUUUACAAAUCUAUAUUGAAAUAGUUAUAAGCUUAAGUUUAAUUAUUUGAGAUGUUGGAAUCUGUAACACCCUUUACCCGGUCCGGUCAUCGGACCUGAGCAAUAAGGUGUUACAAGUAAUUACCAUACAAAUACAAAUAAUUUACAAUUUAAAAGAAGUAAAUAAUUACUAAAUAAUUACAUAUGGGCAUGCAUAUGAUCAUUUUUUUAUUUAAUUCAAAUAAAUAUUGAGUAUAAGGAAACUUAAAAACAAUUCAGAAAAGAUCAGGGAUUGAUUUGAAACAAAAUGAGAAGUUGGGAAAAAUCUAAAAACAGGGGACACACGGUCGUGUCCCCAGAUCAUGUGGAAACGUCUAGCCUGUGUGAGUUUGGACACAUGGUCAUGUGUGUGAGUCACACGAAUGUGUCAAUAGUUUACACGACCAUAUAGGCAGAUCGUGUAACUUAUUGACCCCGUGUGCAAUAAAACCAUUAAAAUUUAUAGACCACAUGUUUGUGCCGCCAGCCCGUGUGUGGCACACGGCCGUGUGCCAGACCGUGUGCACCUAGAAAAUUUUGUUCUAAAACAUGUAAGUUAUCCAUGUGACACUUAUACCACAAGCUACCAUUUACAUCAACUUUAACACAUUCAAAAACAUUUAAUUUAAACUCAAAACAUUAUUGGAACAAUCAUCUUAAGAGUCUAACCAAUAUACCACAAUUGGCACCUCAAAAGCACAAUUUAAAAACUAACUAAAUGAUCACAUUCAUUCAUGUCAAUAUACCCUCAUUAAUUUCUCAAGAAUUCAUUCUACACACGUAUACAUUCAACUAUCAUAUAUUUAAGUAUCAAACCAGGACAACCUAUCAAAAUACCAAUCACAACUAUUAUCAUCACUCAAAAUGCAUACUUACAUAAUCUCAAAAAGACUAACUAAAUAUAAAAUGACCAUUUAAAACAUUAAACAUCCUAGGUACAUGCCAAGACCGAAAAGAACCAUUCACCAACAUUGAGUUCAAGAUUUGCCACUGUAUGCUGAGUCGACAAUCGGAUCAAUGAAUACCUAACCUGAGCACACAAUAGAAAAUAAAUCAUACGAUAAGUAAAACCUCAUGGCAUUUUUAUAGUUUGGAUAUUUAAACAUAUUACGAAAUAGCCAAGUACGCAAUUUAAAUACCAUAAGAAAUAUGCAAAGAAACAUGUAGCUUUCAUAUUUUCAGAACUACAUUCAUCAAAUCUCUCUAGAGUUUCUAAUAUGAAGCAUCUCACUUUAUUUUCUUUACUCAAUAAAAAUAACCACAUAUAUAUCUUAUUUCAUUCUAACUUUAGUAUCGUUCAUUAUUCAGUGUUAAUUUCGAUUCCCAUUUCUUAUCUUCAUUUUCCUUGUUAACGUGAUUCGAACUUGGACGUCUACGCGAAUCCAACCAUCACACCAAAUUUGGCACUCAGUGCUUGACGGAUAAAUUCGUAAAUAAUGAAAUGCGCCUUGCGCUAGCCACUAAAACCGACAAAUGAGUGUGUCAGCACUGGUCGGUAUAACCGAAAAAUAAAUAUGCCCUGUGCUAGUUAAUAAAACUGAAAAAUGAGUGUGCCCAGAACUGGUCGGUAUAACCAAAAAGUAAAUGCGCCUUGCGUUGGUCGGUAAAACAUACAAAUGAGUGUGCCUAGCACUGGCCGGUAUAACCGAAAAAUAAAUGAACCCUGCGCUGGCCAGUGAAACCAACAAAUGAGUGUUCAUUCAUUUCAAAACCAAUGUUUCAAUUUCAUUUUAACAUUUCACCAAUUUGUUCCAAAGACUAACUCUCUUAAUAUACUCACCAAACAAAGUAAUAUAUAUAUAUAAGAACAAUAAUUGAAAUAGUUGGGUUAUAGAAACACCAACCUUUGAACAUUAUAACUGAACAUACAUACAACAUAGUUUAUAACAUUCACCCACUUUAUAAUUUCUGACUACAGUAUCGAUGGACACGCGAAUAACACUAAUAUUGUAAGAAUCGAAUAGUGUUAAAACAACAAUAUUUGAACAACCUUGAAUUACACUCGUUUAUUGAUACGAGAUCAAAGGCCUGACAAAUGCGUUCCAAACUAAAUGGGACCAUUCAGGAGUUUGUUACCAAGGCCUUAGAUGCAUACACGAAAGAACGGGAAAAUCAAGAUUUCAAAUCUUGGGAAUCUUGGUCCAAGAAACCAAAUCUUGCAGCCAAAGCGCAUUGGAUCUCCGUUACGAGCAUCAACGAUUCAAUUUUGGUAGGAGAUGGAUCACAAUCCCAAAUUCUUGAAGUCAAGGCCCAAUAAAAAGAUUCCAAGCCCAAUCAAGAAAUCCACCCAUACUUAGUCGAAAAUCAGGCCAAAUUGUCAAAGUGGCCCAAGUUGUAAAGUUUUAUAUUUAUUUACUUAUUUAUUUUACUUAGUUUAAAUUUUUAUGUAAAUAUCCAGCUCAAGAGUCCCAAAUAAAGACCCUUGGCCGAAUUUCCAUAUUAAAAUAAUUAGGAGUUUUUUUAUUUUAGUUUUCUAAUUAGAUUAGGAAAACACUUGAGAGGCCUAUAUAAAGGCUUGGCCGGCCACCUUGUUAUUCACUUCUCAAUUAUAUCAAAAAUUUCAGAUUUGUUUAAGUGCAGAAUUCUCUUUGAGUUUUUCUCCAAGAAUUCUCUCUUGGGUUUUCUUUAAAAGUUGUUUUAACAAUCUUUUGAUUGUGGGAGCCAUCUUCAGCCUUCUUCUUGCCAUUGAUAUUCUUGGAGGGGAGAUUAGAGCCGUUUGAAGGGAGUUGUGAGAUCUUUCGGGAUUUCAAGGCUUCUCAGGACUUAUCUUUUAAUUUCUUGCUGUCAAUUCUUUCUUUAUUUCUGCUUGUGCCGAAUCUUUAUCUAAUUUAUUUGCUGUUCUUAUUGUGUUUCCAGCCUUUUUUCUAUCUUAAAGAAUCAGCCAAAAAUCCCCAAUUUCUAGGGUUCUUGUCGAUUCAUCCUUACUCUUUUUGGGUGAAAUUAGAUUGCCGAAAUUUGGGGAAAACUAUCUUGGUGUUCAAUUGGGCAGAAUCGCAAUCUCCUUUAGGGUUUCAAGAACCCUUAUUAACACUUAUUUCUAUUCUCAAUUUGAUUCUUUGUUGAUUUGGGGAUUUUAUUUCAGAUUUAGAAAUUCAAAGUUCUAAUCUUUUAAUUUUCUGUUUCGUUUCAGAUCUGAUUGUUUAGGGUUUUCAUAGGAGUUUCCCGUGACUUGGCAACUCGAUCUUGGUCCGCGCUCAACCCCCGUAUCAUUUAUCCUUCCCAUUGAAAUGAUAAUAUAACAGAAAAAAUCAAGUAAAGCAUUAAAUCAGCAUGAAGUAUAUCAGAUAUAACCAACUUUGGGAAAACACUUAUUUACCUAUAAUAUCAGCAUUAAAAUCGGCAUAAACACUUAUUUAAUCCUAACAUUUAAUUUAACAUAAACAUAAUAGAAAUGUCUACUUGGACAACACUUAAAACAUGCUUUGGAUGACAUUUAAAACAUAUUUUGGACAACAUUUAAAACUUACUUUGACAGCAUUUGAAACAUACUUUUGCUGGCACUUAAUGCAUAUCAAAUGUUACAGAGAUACAAACAGGCUUCUGCUCAAUUUCAAUCUGAUUAAUAUAAACAAAUCAAUUCCAUAUAACUACUUCAAGAUAACUCAAUUCUUUCUUGGCAUCGGACUGUAGCAAUAAAUAACACAAAAUAUCAUAACAUACAAAAUUUAAUAAGCAUCAAACUAAGAAUUUGCUCACCGUAAACUUCGGGUUAUUCAAAUCGUAAUCAUUUAAUUCAUAUUUUUUGAUUUAAACCUUUAAUGCCAAAAAUAUUAUAUAAAUGACAGUUCAAAUAGUGAGCAAAGCAAUAUAAUAGAAAUGCAUCAUCAAUUAAUAGUGUAAGUCCCAUAUGAACUUACCUGACAAAAAUGGUGACACGCAAAACGCCGAGGACUAAUUCGCAAAAAAAAAGACUUUUCCUCAACUAUCCCCUGAUUACCUCAAAUCUCGAUCUAUACAAUAAUUUAUUUCGAUUUAUCAAUUUCAAACAUGUCAAAACAACCUAUUAUAAUCAUAUAUAUUAAUUCAAAAAAAUUCAAUGAUCCCUAAAGUUUUGUAUUUUAUUCAAUUUAGUCAUUAAAACCGAAAUGGUUAUAUCUUGCAAAUUUGAGAACCAAUUUUUAAAAAGAUUUCAAAUACUUCCCAUUACAACCCUCUGCUAUCAAUAAUUAUAGAAAAUUAAUACCAAUUUUGAAAUAUUUUAAUUUUUGUCCCUAUAUUCAAAACUAACAAUUAAACUUUACAAAUUAGUCUCUCUUUUUCUUUUUCCAAAUCUAAACUUAAAAAGUUAACCAUUUAACACCAAAACUUCAAACAUUCAACUAAAGUAACAUCUUCAAAUUUUAACAAUAACAAAAAUUACAAGAUGGGUCGGCUAGCUUAUAGUACCGGAAUUUCAAAAACAUAAAAAUUAUAAGAAAAUAACUAAAUUGCACUAACCAAUUUGAAGCUUGAAAAGUUUAAACCCCAUGCGUCCUUCUCCUUUCUUUUUUCGAAAAGGCUAGGAUGAAAAGAGAAUAAUCUCUCUCUUCCCAUCCACUAAUAUCAUCUUUUAAUUUCUUUUUGUCUUUUUUGUCUUUUAACAAUAAUUUUACUAAAGUUUACAAAUAUAAAAUAUAUAAUAAGUCUUAACCAGCCACUCGUAUAUAUUCAUAUAUAGUAAUUUAUUUACUUUAUAAGUCCUAUAUAUUAAAUUCUAAUUGUAAUUCUUUAAUAAUUCUUACUUUAAUUACUUACAUGAUUUAGUUCAUGUACUCUAAUUAAACACUAUUUUGAUGAAAUUAACUAUAUGAAAUUUAAUUUAUUCCUAACAUAGCUCCGUAAAUAUUUAAUAAAAAUAUUUACGAAUCCUAUUUACGGAAAUGGGAUCCCAAUACAUGAAUUUCCAAAAUCACUGACUUUAGAACUGAUACACUUGUACUUUUACUAAUUGUCCAAUUAGCAAAUUUAUCCGAUUAAAAUUUAAUAUAAAAUUAUAAUUAACUCAUAAAUAUUAUUUAAUAAUAUUUACUGACUUGGUUUAUGGAAACGGGAUCUCGAAAUCGUAAUUUUCAACUCCACUCACUUUAGUAUCAUUACACUUGUACCUUAAUUUACUAUCAAUUAAGCAAAAUUAUUAGACUAACUUUAAUAUGUUUCUAUACUAGUCUCAUAAAUAUUAAAUAUUAAUAUCUAUGAACACAUUUUACAAAAAUGACAUUUCAGAACUGUAAUUUUUUAGACCACUGGAAACUGGAUCGUUACAGAAUCGAUUAGUUGAACGAAAUUAUUAUUUAGAUCAAGAAACAAAUUAAUCGGACACAAACAGUGGAAAAGCUGAAGUAGUGAAAUAGUUGUCGGCAUCGUGUUUGUAACUGUUUUUAUUUAGGUAAGUUCGCAUAUUGAUUAAGUUGUUAAUUGCUAUUUUGGAAAAAUUGUUUAUUAACAUCUGUGUUAGGUAUAGGUUAAGUUGAUUGAUAAAUAUAACUUGACGAUUUGGAUUAAAUUAAAAUGUUAAUUAAAUUGAAUAUUAUGAUUGAAAAUGGGAAAACUUUAUGGUUAAGUAAUGGUGAUGAACUAUUAUAUAAAUGAUUACAUGGUUUGGAUAAGAUAUGACCCGUUUGAACCUUGUGAGUGCUUAAGAUAUAAAUGACAUGUCAUUAGGGUUUAUUAUAGUUUCGGGUGCUGGUCUCAGAUGUCCUACCGAUGGUUAAGGUCUUGCAUUUGUUGCGGAUCCUCCACAACUCGUGUGAGCAACAUCGUGUAGUCUAAUAUCCCGACCUACAGCUCGUGUGAGCAUUUUCCUGCGUAUUCAAUGUUAUGUCAUUGUGGUUCAUCGGGUAUUAAAUGAUAUACAAAUGAGUAAAUUGAUUUAUGUAAAGGACAUUUAUGAAUUGGUUAUAUGGUAUCAAGCAUUGAGUGGAUUGUGUCAUAUAUUAUAGACAUGAAAUGGACGAUUGAAUCGAAAUUGUUAUUUAUUAACAUUCUAUGAUAUGAUAUGGUUUUAAGUUCUUAAAUAUGUGAACUCACUAACUUGUGAGAUUUGUGAUGUGUAUAGGAAUUGAAUGAUCUCAUGAGCUUAUUAAUGAAAUUAUGCAUGAAUUGUAUAAAUUGAGCCUAUUUGGUAAAUUUACGUUUAUGAUUUAUACAAGCUUACUAAGCACUAGUUGCUUACGUUAGUUGUUUUCUUUUUCUUUAAACCAUCGAAAAUCUCGACCGGUUGUAAUCAAGUCGGAGCAUACACACUAUCCGCCCUUCAUCUCGGUAGAAGUUUUGGUCAUUUUGAAGUUGGCUAUAAAUGGCAUGUACUAGGAGCUUUUAAGUUUUGUUGUUAUAAUGAUGUAGUUUAAACUUGGUUUAAGCAUACUUGUGAUUAUAUCUUUUGAGUUCGCUUGUAAAUGUCCAUAUGUAGGUUUCUUUAGUAUGUGGUAAAUUGUUUGUGAAUAGAAUGGUUGAAUUUUGUAUGUUUGGCAUGUGUUUAAGAUAAAGACUUGUGAUCUUUGAAUGUGAAUUAGUUUGGUGUAUGAAAUGUGGUGCCAAUGAGGGCAUAUUGGUUAGUCACUUAGGUUGAACACUUUGGUAUGUUUUAAGCUGGUUUGAAUGUGUUUUGAAGGCAUCAGAAUGGUUGGUUUUGGUUUGGCUUGGCACCUAAGGAAUGGGUAAUGUUAUGGCUUGUUUUAGAAGUCAUUUUAGGUGCACACGACCUGGGACACAGGCUGUCACACGACUGUGUGCCACACACGGUCACUUCAUACAGGCAAGUGGUUUAUUUAAUUUUGGUGCAGGUUUGUUCCACACGGUCAUAGGUUGAUACACGACUAUGUGACCCUAUAUCGAAUAGCACAUAGUCUGGCACACGGUCUGCGACACGACUGUGUGACCCUAUUUUUGAACUGUACACAGUUUGCCCACACGGCCAUGUUUCUAAGCCACAUGAUCUGGGCUUUAUCACACAGCUGUGUGACCCUUGUUUUCAAUUUUUUUUACUAUUUUUUGUUUUGUUUCAAAUUAGUCCUUGAUUGUUUAUAAAUUGAUUUUUAGGUUCCGUGGGCUCGAUAAGGCCCGUAAUCGUAUAUAUGCUAUGAUUGAUGAUUGGUUUUGAAUAUUUGAUAUUUAAAUUAAUAAUUGAAUGGUUUUAUGUUGUUGUUUGAUUCGAUAUGUGUCGUAAUACUCCAUAACCCUAAUCUGACGACAGAGAUGGGUUAGAGGUGUUACAAGUGGAGUUGGGUAGGAUCUAUUCUAAUAAAUUGAAAUUGCAUUGCUAUGCAUGAGCGUAUGCAUACAUAAACUGUGAAUGCUGAGAUAUUAUUACACCAAUGUGUUGAUCUAAAGAACCCAUACUUUGAAUCACUAGAUGAGUGUGAAUGUUAUGAGAAUUAUUAUUUUGUAUACGACAUCUAUUGUUUGCACUGAUUUUCUUAUGAUAGGACUCACACUAAACUUCAAUAGCUCACCCCACUUAGUUUUCCAUCUUUUUAGAUAACUCGCAAGGUUAAGGCAUAGACUAGGUAUCCAGAAAGUCUUGGCUUGGAUUGCCUUUUUCUAAAAAUAUAUUAGAUUUACUAUUUGAAUUUUUGGUUAUUCAAAAGUUGUAUUCUUCUAUUUUUGAACUAUGGCAUGAGAUUUAAGUUUUGGGUUUAUAUAGAAUGCAUGAAAUUUAAAUUGAUUUUAGGAUGUUGAAAUAUGGAUUUUAAUUAUUUAUGCAUGAAAUUUGAUUUUUCCUUAAAACUAUUUUAGACAUCACUUUUUCGUUACAUUAUCAUGUAAAUGAGAUUUGAAAAAAAAAAGAUAUGCACAUAAAAUUGGAAAACAUCUUUUGCUAAGUAAACUUUAAAAUCCAUCGUUUUUAGGAAAUUAUAUCUUUUAGUGAAAAUGAGAUAAAACGCUAGGUUUUUCUUCAAAGGUAGAUAAAUGCUUUUAAAAGAAUGUUUUAAACUCCAGAUUUAUUUUUUACUUGGCUAUCUUGGUGGCUAAUAUAGCCUUUCGAAUUCGAUCGUAACUUCUAGACCAAGUUGGGGAAGUUAUAGAUGUUAUCAUAUGACAUGUGGUAGCAUAUGAUUAGUUGGACAUUCCAACUGUUAGUUUUUAACAUUAAAGGAUUAAACUGGGAAUAUCCAAUAAUGUUAGAGACUAAAAUAAGACUAAAAAAAAAAAACCUUUAAACACCAAAGUGAGAAAAACAAUAUACCUUGGAGACUAAAGUGUGCAUUAAGCCUAAAAUUUAUUGUUUUAGGUUUAUUCUAUAGGGAAGGAAAGUUAAAAAGUAACCUGAAACAAAAAAUAAAUUAUAAAAAAUUUGAAUUAUUAAGGCUUAAUCUAGGAUUUCAUCAUUCAACUUUACUUUUUUUUUGUCUAACAUUUUUUUCUACUAAAAUUAUAAAUUUAUAUUAGUCACGUAACAGAUUUUAGUAUUAAAAAAAAAGUAUCAAAACAAAACAAAAUAUUAGUAAUUGAUUAAUAUUUGACAUAAAAAUUUUAUAAAUUAAACAUUUAUAUUAUUAUGUUUUAAAGUUCUCUAAUUUUUCUAACAAAAUUUAAGAAAUAAGUAAAAGGCCAUCUCACAACGCCGGCCACCGCAUGUGGUGGCACUACGGCGGCAGCAACGGCCUGAAUCCAUGGCCGGAUUUGGAGGUUUGAGAGAGAACUUCAAAGUUCUUUGUUUUUUUUAAAAGAAAUGGGGAUGAAUCUGAUUUUUAGGGUUUUUUUAAUAUUUAUACCCAUUAAAAAACGACGUCGUUUCACCUGUGGCUCUCCGCGCCAAAAUGGCACCGUUUUGCCUUAGACCCGCGCGCGACCCGACCCGCUCCAGGGGGGAUCCACGUGUUUUCGUUCAAUGGUAUAUUUGCAACCCUGGCCCUUCCGCGUUCAUGCCCUUUUCAAUUUACUCCCCUUUUUGGUUAUUUUCACGUUUUUAAAUUUGGCCCCGCAAUUUUGUUUGGUUUUCAACCAAGUCCUUGACCCACCGACGGCUGAAACGACGGACACGUGUCUGAAUUUGGGUUUUAUUACCCAUUCGGUCCCUUCUAUAUUCGUGCGCAUUAUAAUUUGGUCCUUUUUGUGUUUUUCAUUUUUUAUUUCGGCCCUAAAAUUUAAUUUAGCUUCCAAUUUAAUCCUCAAUCUGUCAUUUUAGGUUUUCUUUACUUUUAUUAUUUAUUUUAAUAUUAUUAAUACUAUUAUAUUGCACCCUUAUUAUUAUUAUUAUUAUUAUUAUUAUUAUUAUUAUUAUUAUUAUUUUGUUUAUACUCCUUUAAUUUUAAAAUUCUUGUUAUAUAUUUACAUAUACAAACGCAUACUUUUUAUAGUAUAUAUGUGUACAUAUUUUAUUUUAUUUUUAUUUUUAUUUUUUAUUUUUUUGUGUGUAAAUACAUACAUUUUUCUAAUACAUAUACACGUACAUAUUCUUUUUAAGUUUAUUUUUAAAUAUGUAUGUGCCUACUUAUACAUAUUAUUUGUAUUCUAUACCUUUUAUAUAUACAUAUAUUUAUUUUCAUAAAUACAUAUUUAUAUAUUUUUAUAUUUUCACAUAGUUUUUAUAUAUACUUUUAUAUUUUAGAUAUAUAUAUAUACAUACUUAUGUUUUACGCUUAAAAAUACAUGGAUAUGCAUAUUCUUUUUAUAUACAUUCACUUACUUUAUAAUUUAUAACUUAAAUAUGUUUAUAUUCAUACAUGAACAUUUUAUCUCUUACUAUUUGUAUUGUUAUUGUUAUACUAUUUGAUAUUUAUUUAUGUAUUUAUUCAUGUAUUCGUUAUUAUUUUUAAGAAAUGCUUUAAUUUUUUUAUUAUCUCAUAUACUUGAUUUGUUAUUUUAUGUAUUUUAUUUCUUUUUGAUUAUUGCUUAUAUUAGUUUUGCUUGUAUUAUCAUUAUCAUUUUGUUAUACAUAUUAAUAUUUCAUUUAUUCCUACCAUUUUAUGUUAGGUUAAUUUUAUUUAAUAUGAUUUUAAAAUAAAGCAAAAUCUCGUAUUUUAGAUUCGAGAAGAUUGAGCCCUAACGUAUUGGGUUUCAUUUUUCUUCGUUGAAUCUAAAUAAUCGAGAAUGCUCUUUAAUCAAAAAAUAUAAAAUAAAAAAGCUCAUUAUCGAGAAUUCAAUACGUUGUGUCCUAACGCAUUGGAUGUGACACGUUGAUUUCUCGAUAUGAAAUUUUUUCUAAAAAAUAAUAAAGGCAAUAUUCAAUGUUUAAAAUUUUUUUUGCAAGCUAUACUUUUAUAAUAAGUCCUUCAAAUUUUCUUAUCAUAAUAAAUCACUGUAAAUUUUAAAUUAUUAUUAAAAAUUCUUUCUAAGUAUAUAAUUAUUUUUACAAAUAAAAUACACUAAAACUGAAGUACCUAUUUAAAAUAUAAAUAAUGUUAUGAUAAAUUAUUUAGUAGUACAAUAUUUAAAUUUAAUUAACAAUAUAAAUUCAGUAAUUAAUAAUUAAAAUUAAGUUAGAAACUAUGUAUAAAAAUAUAAUUUUAGAAAAUCUACUAUUAUAAUAUUUAUAUUUUAAAAAUAAUUUCAAAAUAUUGUCAAAAGGUUUAAUGAUGGAUAAAAAUAUUGUUUAUUUCAGAUUUUUUUUUAAAAUAUUCUUUUUAUUUUUGAUAUUUAGAUUUUUCUUAUUAGAGGUACAGCCCAUUGAUGUAUUUGCUAAGGAUUUGGUGAGAGAAAAUGUUUUUGCUUAUAUUAUAUAUUAUUUAUUUCUUUUUAAAAUGGUUACAAGGUUUUUUUUUCCUUAAAAUUUUGUAAUUUGAUUUGCUUUCUAUUUGGUUUACUCCAUCAUGGCGUUUAAAAUUUACUUAGAAAAUUAAUGCAUGCCAUCGACCUGUUUUUGUGCCUUGCGUUCCAAUGCUAUGAUGGAGAAAUAAAAGAUUGAAAGAGAUUGACUUUGCUUUCACCCGACAGAUAAUGUGUGGUUUGAGUAUAUCUGUGAAUUAAAACCUUUAAUUGUAUAAUAAUAAUAAUAAGAAGGCUGAAUUGUCCAUUUCUAUAUUCACUUUGAGCCUAGUAAGGAAGAAGAUUCCUUCCCCAUUUCCCUCUCUGGUGUUGGAGGCGAAGCUCCUAUGUUCAUGAAUGAAGACGAUGAAGAGGGAGCAGGGUUGGAUGCUGCAUAUGUUGACAAACCACUCACAUCACUGUUUACAGUCAUGGUUGUUCCACUGCUCAAGCCUUCAGCAACCAGUUUUGGAGCUGGUGGCCUCUCAAUAUCGAUGACCCCUUCUAACAUCUGCACCACUUUUCCCAUCAUUGGCCUUUGGGAUGGUUGUUCCUGUAUGCACCAAAAGCUCACCAUAAUUGCCCUUUCGACUUCCUCACUAUCAACAUCUUUUAUUCUUUUAUCAACAAUGGCCUCAAUGUGACCCUUUUCAAACUCCGAAUAAGCCCAUAGGGAGAACUUUUUACCGUCUGUUUCCGGUGAGACCUCGAAGUUCCUUCUUCCACUCACUAUUUCUAAUAAAACCAUUCCAUAGCUAUAAACAUCGCACUUUGAGGUUAUUGGAUGAUUUGCAAGCCACUCUGGUGCCAAGUAUCCUCUAGUCCCUCUGAUGCUUGCCAAUGACAAGUGCCUAUGAUCCUUUGGCUUCAUAAGCUUUGCAAGGCCGAAAUCCGACACUUUGGCAGUGUAACCUUCAUC